AGGGAAAAAAAAUCAUCCCCAAGUAUAACAAGAGACGGAACAGUUAGUGCUGAUUUUCAUUUGCAUAAAUUUUCAUAUAUUUUAGUGAAAAUAAUAGCGGGAGCCGAGGAGUGCUCCUGCUCAGUUGAGGCGGAGGAAAGAAAAUCUUAGGGGCUGCAGCAGCAGCGAGUCGUGUAGGAGAGAGAAAAAAAACAGGAGAUAACCAUUUACACCACUCCGCGCGAACAAUGUGGACUCGUUUCUCUUUCGUCGGACUUAAGGAGAGCCAGCCCGGCAACCCCCCCAAACAUUAACACACACACACACACACACACACACACACACACACACA